rnacentral:lncRNA from 1 species
AUUAGCAUUUGGGUCAACACAGAGCAAGGUAACCAAUGGCAACCAGCACAGUUCCUUGCCCGAAAGCAGCGAAGUGACUUAGUUCAACACGAUUACGAAAUACCUUCGAGCACAUCCUCCGCUCAAAUAGUUUCCUCGUUCUUUUUUUUUUUUUAUUAUUAUUUUACUUUAUUUUAUUUUUUUAUUUCGGAAGGCUUCUGUUUCAGAGGAAAGCUCAGCCACCUUCGCCGCCUCGGAGCGGAGGCUCACGCCGCCAGAAAUUCCUGUGGAGCAACUCGCGGCGUCGGGAGCGCGGCGCGCAGCGGGGCGGCACCGGCCGGGCGCACUGCGGCGAGUUGCUGCGGCAACACGGGGGUGCCACGUCCCGGCUCUGCCUCUCCGAUCAGUAAGGGCAUCCCAGCGCUGUUACACUCCGCCACUGCGAGCUUCACGCACCGUCCGGUAAAACUCGCAGGCAGCUUAACGAGAAGCCCGUGCCUAACUUCACAGAAAGUACUCGGAGUAAAUAAAUACACCGCAAAGCGCCCUACCUCGGCUGGCAUUUACUUACGGACCGUUAAAACGGUUAAGCCGAGAAGCACGCAGGCGGGGAAACGCACGCUACCUGCCGACCUGCCCCCCAGGCUCCAGCUCCCGCAUCCGCCCCGGCACCCUCCGGCGGCACCCCCGUUACCGCGGCACCGCCGGCCCACCCCGGGGAGCCUCCCGGGCAGGCCGGGUCGCUCAGCGAGAGCAGGCCGGGUCGAGCCGAGCCGAGCCGAGCGCUCCCCGCCUUGCGCCCCUCGGCGGCUGGCUUACCUCCUGGCGACGAGCAGCCGCGGAGGGGAAGGAGGAGAGGGCCUGCUGGCCGCUUGGGCUCCCUCCUCUCCCCCUGCUCGCUCGUUUUCUCCUUCCUUCCUUCCUUCCUGCCUGCCUCCACACCCCACCCCACCCCCGCGCUGCUCCCCGGCGAGCCGCGCCCGCGGCGCUCCGCUCCCUUCCCUCCCCUUCCCUCCCUCCGGAGGCGGCCGCACCUGGGCUGGCGGGGCGGCGUGCUGCCUCAGGAGCCCGGCCGGGGGCUCGGGGAGGGCUGCCUGCCCCACAGCACGGCCCCGGAGCACGACCCCGGGGUCCUCCUUUCCUCCCCCGGGGCGUAGGGCGAGAUGGCCGCGGGGCUCCCCCCGGGCUCCCCGCUGCCCCCCAGCGGAGCCCCGCGAAGGGCGCAGCGCCCUCCCGCCUCGCUUGGCUGGAUGA